UACGUAGGGUGCAAGCGUUAAUCGGAAUUACUGGGCGUAAAGCGUGCGCAGGCGGUUAUGUAAGACAGUUGUGAAAUCCCCCGGGGCUCAACCUGGGGAACUGCAUCUGUGACUGCAUAGCUAGAGUACGGUAGAGGGGGAUGGAAUUCCGCGUGUAGCAGUGAAAUGCGUAGAUAUGCGGAGGAACACCGAUGGCGAAGGCAAUCCCCUGGACCUGUACUGACGCUCAUGCACGAAAAGCGUGGGGAGCAAACAGG
rnacentral:rRNA from 1 species